rnacentral:rRNA from 1 species
AUUGAACGCUGGCGGCAGGCCUAACACAUGCAAGUCGAGCGAACGACGGACGGGUGAGUAAUGUCUGGGAAACUGCCUGAUGGAGGGGGAUAACUCCUGGAAACGGUAGCUAAUACCGCAUACCAUCAGAUGUGCCCAGAUGGGAUUAGCUAGUAGGUGGGGUAACGGCUCACCUAGGCGACGAUCCCUCGCUGGUCUGAGAGGAUGACCGGCAAUACUGAAACGGAGACACGGUCCAGAAUCCUACGGGAGGGAGCAGUGGGGAAUAUUGCACAAUGGGCGUAAGCCUGAUGCAGCCAUGCCGCGGGUGUGAAGAAGGCCUUCGGGUUGGAAAGCACUGUCAGCGGGGAGGCGUUACCCGCAGAAGAAGCACUGGCUAACUCCGUGCCAGCCGCCGCGGUAAUAC